GAUGAAGAACGCAGUGAAAUGCGAUACGUAAUGUGAAUUGCAAAUUCAGUGAAUCAUCGAGUCUUUGAACGCACAUUGCGCCCCCUGGUAUUCCGGGGGGCAUGCCUGUCCGAGCGUCAUUGCUGCCCUCAAGCACGGCUUGUGUGUUGGGCCCCGUCCUCCGAUCCCGGGGGACGGGCCCGAAAGGCAGCGGCGGCACCGCGUCCGGUCCUCGAGCGUAUGGGGCUUUGUCACCCGCUCUGUAGGCCCGGCCGGCGCUUGCCGAUCAACCCAAAUUUUUUAUCCAGGUUGACCUCGGAUCAGGUAGGGAUACCCGCUGAACUUAAGCAUAUCAAUGAGGA
rnacentral:misc_RNA from 1 species